rnacentral:rRNA from 1 species
GAUGAACGCUGACAGAAUGCUUAACACAUGCAAGUCUACUUGAACUUCGGUUUGGGUGGCGGACGGGUGAGUAACGCGUAAAGAACUUGCCUCACAGUUAGGGACAACAUUUGGAAACGAAUGCUAAUACCUGAUAUUAUGAUUUUAGGGCAUCCUAGGAUUAUGAAAGCUAUAUGUGCUGUGAGAGAGCUUUGCGUCCCAUUAGCUAGUUGGAGAGGUAACGGCUCACCAAGGCGAUGAUGGGUAGCCGGCCUGAGAGGGUGAACGGCCACAAGGGGACUGAGACACGGCCCUUACUCCUACGGGAGGCAGCAGUGGGGAAUAUUGGACAAUGGACCAAAAGCCUGAUCCAGCAAUUCUGUGUGCACGAUGACGUUUUUCGGAAUGUAAAGUGCUUUCAGUUGGGAAGAAAAAAAUGACGGUACCAACAGAAGAAGUGACGGCUAAAUACGUG